UACGAAGGUCCCAAGCGUUAUCCGGAUUUAUUGGGUUUAAAGGGUGCGUAGGCGGGUUAUUAAGUCAGUGGUGAAAGCCUUCAGCUCAACUGAAGAAUUGCCAUUGAUACUGAUGAUCUUGAGUAUGAUUGAGGUGGGCGGAAUGUGUCAUGUAGCGGUGAAAUGCUUAGAUAUGACACAGAACACCGAUUGCGAAGGCAGCUCACUAAGUCAUAACUGACGCUGAUGCACGAAAGCGU
rnacentral:rRNA from 1 species